CACGCUGCAACGAGGCGGGAGCUAGACCACGGCCCACCCCUGCGGCUCCCGUGAGGUUCUGGGGACCACAUCCCGGGGCAGUGGCCUCCAGCAGCGUGGGCUGUGCUGUUCUCACGGCCCAGCUCCCCGCGGCGCCGCUCUGCACGGACCCCGCCCGUGGCUUCUCCUGUCUCGCGGUAGAGGCCGUCGUCCUUGUGACCCGACAGCCCGGCACCGUCUUGCUCCCACGCGUCCUCGCAGAGACCGGGCCUGGGCCACCUCUGCGCCUGCAGGUCCCUCCGCCCGGAGAGCUCCUCGUGUGGCCGUGUCACCGACUUACUCUGGGUCCCUCCUCAGAACUCAGGCCCAGGGGAUGCCUCCCCCCGCUGGCCUCUUUAAAGUGCACACACGCUGCCCGCCCCCGGUGCACCCCUCCCUCCUCUGCCUUGCUUCUUCUCCACGCUCAUCACUCGGCAUGCUGUGCCUUUCACCGUUGAUCUGUCUGUCCUCCCCCUCUAGAAUCUCUGGUCCGUUCUGGCCCCGAUGGCGCCCUGGCGCCUAGGACAGAGCCUGACACGCAGCUGGCCCCCCACGCCCCCAUCCAGCCCGCGCUCACAUGGUGCUGGAAGCCAGUGAUUUGGCACAGAAGGCUCGAAUCUCAAAGUCUACUCCACAGGCCUCGGGAGGAGAAAAGGUCACAUCUUACACAAGGGCCCGGCCCCCACGCCCUUCCUUUCCUCUCCCCUCGCCUUCGUCAGGGACUCUUGCCCCAUCGCGGUCUGCUCUGAGCAGUGCAGGGCCUGGGGCUUCGUCCUCUGCCUCCCAAAGACCCAGUACCUGGCAGAGCGUCGGUCCUGUCUGCAAGGUGAGCCCCUAUACUCACCCGUGAAUGCCCAGAGUCACCCGUGAACAGAUAAACCAUAUUUCCACUGGG